GACGAACGCUGGCGGCGUGCCUAAUACAUGCAAGUUGAGCGCUGAAGGUUGGUACUUGUACCAACUGGAUUAGCAGCGAACGGGUGAGUAACGCGUGGGGAAUCUGCCUUUGAGCGGGGGACAACAUUUGGAAACGAAUGCUAAUACCGCAUAAAAACUUUAAACACAAGUUUUAAGUUUGAAAGAUGCAAUUGCAUCACUCAAAGAUGAUCCCGCGUUGUAUUAGCUAGUUGGUGAGGUAAAGGCUCACCAAGGCGAUGAUACAUAGCCGACCUGAGAGGGUGAUCGGCCACAUUGGGACUGAGACACGGCCCAAACUCCUACGGGAGGCAGCAGUAGGGAAUCUUCGGCAAUGGACGAAAGUCUGACCGAGAAACGCCGCGUGAGUGAAGAAGGUUUUCGGAUCGUAAAAAUCUGUUGGUAGAGAAGAACGUUAGUGAGAGUGGAAAGCUCAUCAAGUGACGGUAACUACCCAGAAAGGGACGGCUAACUACGUG
rnacentral:rRNA from 1 species